CGAGUUAGCCAGACGAUCGCGGGCAACACGCCGAAAGGGGUUGCCUGAGGAAAGUCCGAGCUGCACAGAGCAGGGUGCUGGAUAACGUCCAGUGGGGGCGACCCUAAGGAAAGUGCCACAGAAAACAAACCGCCAUGGACUCAUGGCAAGGAUGAAACGGUGCGGUAAGAGCGCACCAGAGGUCAGGUGACUGGCCUGCUUGGCAAACCCCACCCGCAGCAAGACCGAAUAGGGGAAGGAUGAGGUGGCUCGCUGACUUCCCGGGUAGGUCGCUGGAGGCGUUCGGCAACGAACGUCCUAGAUAAAUGAUCGUCCACGACAGAACUCGGCUUAUGGCUAACUCGCCGC
rnacentral:RNase_P_RNA from 1 species